AUGUCCGGAUCCGGAGCAGGAGGCAGAUGGAUGGCCUCUACCGUCCGGGAGAAGGAUAUCAAGAAGCUCCGGGAAGCCGGGUAUCUGGCCAAGAAGAUUGGCCACCGUCUCCCACCGGCGGGACAGGUUGUCCCUACUCCGGAGCCUUACGAGAGAGUCGUGUUCCUUCCCCAUUUUGUUCGCGGGCUCGGGUUUCCCCUCCACCCAUUUGUUCGUGGAGUCGUGUAUUACUACGGGAUUGAUUUUCAUGAUCUUUCCCCCAACUCCUUUCUCAAUAUCUCGACGUUCAUCGUCGUAUGCGAGGCUUUUCUCUGGAUUCCGCCUCACUUCGGCCUGUGGCUGAAGAUUUUCAAUGUGAAGCCCAAGGUCGUGAGUGGAGAACAUGCCGAGUGCGGCGGUGCCAUGGUGAGCAAGAUGCCCAAGGUCGUUUGGCCGAAGGGAACUUUCAACGACUCCGUCAAGGAGUGGCAGCAGUGGUUUUAUAUCACCGAACCACGCAGGAAAAAGUGGGCUGCAGCUCCUGAGUUCAGAUUCGGAGCUCCACUGCGGCUCACGUCCUGGCCCAAGAAGGGCCCGAAUUGUCCUCGUUCGAUGAGCUAUCACUGCUCCAGACGCGCGUUCAGAGCGUGGUUGACAAGGGUGUCAAACUCGUCGACGUAG
rnacentral:rRNA from 1 species